AGUGAACGCUGGCGGUAGGCCUAACACAUGCAAGUCGAACGGCAGCACAGUAAGAGCUUGCUCUUACGGGUGGCGAGUGGCGGACGGGUGAGGAAUACAGCGGAAUCUACUUUUUCGUGGGGGAUAACGUAGGGAAACUUACGCUAAUACCGCAUACGACCUACGGGUGAAAGCAGGGGAUCUUCGGACCUUGCGCGAUUGAAUGAGCCGAUGUCGGAUUAGCUAGUUGGCGGGGUAAAGGCCCACGAAGGCGACGAUCCGUAGCUGGUCUGAGAGGAUGGUCAGCCACACUGGAACUGAGACACGGUCCAGACUCCUGCGGGAGGCAGCAGUGGGGAAUAUUGGACAAUGGGGGCGAGCCUGAUCCAGCCAUACCGCGUAGGUGAAGAAGGCCUUCGGGUUGUAAAGCCCUUUUGUUGGGAGAGAAAAGCAGCAGGUUAAUACCCCGCUGUUCUGACGGUACCCAAAGAAUAAGCACCGGCUAACUUCGUG
rnacentral:rRNA from 1 species